rnacentral:rRNA from 1 species
GAUGAACGCUGGCGGCGUGCCUAAUACAUGCAAGUCGAGCGAACAGACGAGGAGCUUGCUCCUCUGACGUUAGCGGCGGACGGGUGAGUAACACGUGGAUAACCUCCCUAUAAGACUGGGAUAACUUCGGGAAACCGGAGCUAAUACCGGAUAAUAUAUUGAACCGCAUGGUUCAAUAGUGAAAGACGGUUUUGCUGUCACUUAUAGAUGGAUCCGCGCCGCAUUAGCUAGUUGGUAAGGUAACGGCUUACCAAGGCAACGAUGCGUAGCCGACCUGAGAGGGGGAUCGGCCACACUGGAGCUGAGACACGGUCCAGACUCCUACGGGAGGCAGCAGUAGGGAAUCGUCCGCAAUGGGCGAAAGCCUGACGGAGCAACGCCGCGUGAGUGAUGAAGGUCUUCGGAUCGUAAAACUCUGUUAUUAGGGAAGAACAAAUGUGUAAGUAACUAUGCACGUCUUGACGGUACCUAAUCAGAAAGCCACGGCUAACUACGUG